UAGGGUAACCAACAGUCCUGGUUUGCCUGGGACAGAGCAGUUGUUCCAGGGACUUGGGGCUUUUGAGAAAGUCCCAGGGUAAACCAGGAUAAGUUG
rnacentral:miRNA from 1 species